GUUCUCUUUUAUCCGAAACAUUAAACACCCUAGACGUUUCUCUCAGAAAACUACAAACUGCAGAAAGAUCUUUCCACCAACCAAGAUCUGGCCUAAUUCGAAUGGAGAAUAAGGGAUUCUUCCCAAUUUCAAAACUACUUUAUCUUUUUUGUCCUUCACUUCACCAGAAAUUUCUUGACAUCAUUCGAUCUGAGAAGAGCAUAGACAAACCCUAGUCAUCUACUAAAUCCCUGUAAACCAAAUCAAUAACCCUCCAUCACCGCAUCUCUCAAUCUCUCUGAUCAAACAACAAAAAUAACGCCGAAGAAGUAGCAGAAGAAGAAGUAGAUGAAGACGGAGAAAUCAUGAAGGGUUUUCAGCAACAAAAGAUGAUGACUACAAGUAUGGAGAUGGAGAUCUUGUGAAAUAGUGAGAUGAAGUUUUGGUGACAAUUUCCUAAGUCAUGGCAUAACCUGUAACCUGUUUUGCAACACCUUAGCGGUUCGACUCACAGUAACGAAUUGUGAGCUUUUCUGGCAAGUGCGUUGAUGGAAACUAAUUUAUAAAUGACCUACAGAAGAGGUUCGCUAUAACUCCUACUAAAGAAAUGAACCGUGGAGGCAUUUUCAAGAAUCUUCCAAGGCUUUUGGAGUUCUUCAAAGACCCAUCUUUUGCUGUCUUUAUGCCCUUCACAUCCUCCAGUUCAUGGAUGACUUGUACUUGGUGAAGGAAAUGGAUCGAUAAUGUUUAUAUAAUGACUGUGAUUGGAGUACUUGGAAAUCUCCAAAUUGGAUGAAGAAAUGCCCAGUGGCGGUGUCUUUUGGUUUUGGAGGAGAAAUUGUUUCAUGUAAACAUAGUCAGUUAGCUACCGAUCCACCUACAGGAAGUUCCGAGGUUUACAUGCAUACUGAUUUCAGUUUGGUGAGCCAAUCCACUGAAUACGAAGCUACCAUUCAAGGAUACUGGAUUACUUGACCUUCCCUUACGUACUGCUUUUCGAGGAACUAAAGGGAGCUGUUGCAAGUGCUUGUGGUGAUUUUACUAGGGCUUUUUAAUAAAGUAACCACCUUUUUGAACCAUAUUUAAGAAACUGGCCGUUUUUUUGAAUCUUUAUAUAAACUGGCCGAUAUUGACAUUUUCCAUCCCGUUUUUUUCAAAAAACGGAUUUAGGUAGUUAACUGGCUACGUGGCAGUUAACCUGCUAGGUAAAAGACGACUUAACCCUCGUCUGAGUUCGUAACCAAACCAGUAUCGAGUCAACUCGGUGACUCAUUGCAACGGUCGGAUUUGUAACGGUUGGAUUUGUAACGGUCAGAUUCAACUUCAUUCAUAUAAAUUAGGCCCUGCAGAGAA